rnacentral:rRNA from 1 species
AUUGAACGCUGGCGGCAUGCUUUACACAUGCAAGUCGAACGGCAGCACGGGUGCUUGCACCUGGUGGCGAGUGGCGAACGGGUGAGUAAUGCAUCGGAACGUGCCUAUUAGUGGGGGAUAACGCUUCGAAAGGAGUGCUAAUACCGCAUAAUCUCUGAGGAGGAAAGCAGGGGACCUUCGGGCCUUGCGCUGAUAGAGCGGCCGAUGUCGGAUUAGCUAGUUGGUGAGGUAAAGGCUCACCAAGGCGACGAUCCGUAGCGGGUCUGAGAGGAUGAUCCGCCACACUGGGACUGAGACACGGCCCAGACUCCUACGGGAGGCAGCAGUGGGGAAUUUUGGACAAUGGGCGCAAGCCUGAUCCAGCCAUGCCGCGUGAGUGAAGAAGGCCU